rnacentral:rRNA from 1 species
AUACGUAGGGCGCGAGCGUUGUUCGGAUUUACUGGGUGUAAAGGGUGCGUAGGCGGCUCUGCAAGUCAGGUGUGAAAACCAUCGGCUUAACUGUUGGACUGCAUUUGAAACUGUGGGGCUUGAGUGGAGUAGAGGCAGACGGAAUUCCCGGUGUAGCGGUGAAAUGCGUAGAGAUCGGGAAGAACACCAGUGGCGAAGGCGGUCUGCUGGGCUCUAACUGACGCUGAGGCACGAAAGCAUGGGUAGCAAACAGGAUUAGAUACCCUGGUAGUCCAUGCCGUAAACGAUGAUUACUAGGUGUGGGGAGUCUGACCCUCUCCGUGCCGGAGUUAACGCAAUAAGUAAUCCGCCUGGGAAGUACGACCGCAAGGUUGAA